GGUGGCUCAGUGGUAGAGUACUUGCCUUGCAUGCAUGAAGCCCUGGGUUCGAUUUCUCAGCACCA
rnacentral:tRNA from 1 species